rnacentral:lncRNA from 1 species
AGGAGGAAGAAUUGGCCUGACCCUGACCCUAAUUACUCCUAGGCAUUCUUGCUUUGGCUUUUGGUAUUGCUCUAAGAGGCUCUUUUGGUAUGAGUCUGUUAUUUCCCUUUUUUGCUUUUUAAAGGAAACAGUGGGAGAAUAUUUUAUACAGUGAUGGAAUAAGAAUGACAACUUUUGUUGGGAAAGGUGUCAAAGAAAACUCCGAGAGAAGAGGAUGCUGGAGCUGGAUCUUAAAGGGAGACUAAGAGUCACAAAGCACUGUGGAGAAGAACUCCUCUGACAGUUGACGCCUCUCAGCACAGCCUGUUAAGGCUCUGGUCCAUGUUCAUCAUUAGCAUCAAAUGUCACCUCUGUGUUUGGUGAACAGCUGCCCUGUUUGGUUUAAGGCUAAGACCUAGUCUGGCAAAGAAGAUGGAGCUGCUCAUUUCUGAAGAGAUGAACCUGUGGAAGUCUGCCAGAGCAACAGGCAUCAGAAUGAAGGCCAGCAAUAUGCAUACCCUGUGAGAUGGCCCCCAAGGGGUGCAGGUGCUUAUGUUUUAUAUGGAUAUUCAAGCAAAUUAUCUCAGGAGAGAUCUUUUGCCCUUGCCCGCUGGUGUUGAAACUCCUCGCGCACCUCAAGAUUGGUACCGUGUUUGCUCUCUAUUGCCACCUAAUGGUGGCUAGUGGCAGCAACAAGGUAAAAGUUGUUUUCCCCUUCCGUCUGCUCUUAACCAAAUUCCUUCAGGCUGGAUUAAUUUUGAAAGUCUCUUUUAAAGACUACAGAAUGAUGUGGAAUAACUAUCUAUUUUUCUGA